ACUUAACUAUUUUACACUAAUCUAGUUCUUUUGUAAUAAAUACAUUAAAUAAAAUAUAUUCAAAGGUUAUAAAAUAAAAGUUCUACACUUUUUUUUUUAGUGGUUUUAGUGUUUGUGGUCUUUAUCAAACACAUUAGUUUGAUAAUAGUAAAAUAUUUUUUUAUUAUUUACAACAAAAUGCGUCCAAAAAAAAGGUAUACUAAAACAAUAUUUUGUGGAGCGUUUAAGAAAUAUUUAGCUGCUAACUACAAAUUACCAUCUGGAACAAGCAUUCAAUGUAUGAAUGGGUUGGAGGUGGAGAGGCGACCUGCUUCCGAUUCGAUGGGCGCCACCGGUGCACGUUGUAAUAUAGUUUAAUUUAAUUUGUAUUUUUAUACUAGAUUUACUUUUUUUUAAAUAAAUAUAAAAUUGAUAAAA
rnacentral:lncRNA from 1 species